rnacentral:rRNA from 1 species
UACGAAGGGGGCUAGCGUUGCUCGGAAUCACUGGGCGUAAAGGGUGCGUAGGCGGGUCUUUAAGUCAGGGGGGAAAUCCUGGAGCUCAACUCCAGAACUGCCCUUGAUACUGAGGGUCUUGAGUAUGGGAGAGGUGAGUGGAACUGCGAGUGUAGAGGUGAAAUUCGUAGAUAUUCGCAAGAACACCAGUGGCGAAGGCGGCUCACUGGCCCAUUACUGACGCUGAGGCACGAAAGCGUGGGGAGCAAACAGG